rnacentral:tRNA from 1 species
UCCCCAGUGGCUCAGAUGGUACAGAAUCUGACUGCAAUGCAGGAGACCUAGGUUCAAUCCCUGGGUUGGGAA